UUUGUCUUCCCGGAGAGCCUUCACGCAGGAUGCUGUGUUCUGUGCUCUUUUGUGAAUGUCUGUGGCUGAUAACUGCUUAUGCUCAUGAUGAUGACUGGAUUGACCCCACAGACAUGCUUAACUAUGAUGCUGCUUCAGGAACAAUGAGAAAAUCUCAGGUGAAGUAUGGUAUAUCAGAGAAAGAAGAGGUCAGUCCUGACUUAUCACAUGCUGAUGAAUUGUCAGAAUGUUACAGCAGACUUGAUUCUUUAACUCAUAAGAUCGAUGAGUGUGAAAAGCUGAAGAGAAAAGACUAUGAAAGUCAAAGCAAUCCUGUUUUUAGGAGAUACUUAAAUAAGAUUUUAAUUGAAACCAGAAAGCUUGGCCUUCCUGAUGAAAACAAAGGUGAUAUGCAUUAUGAUGCCGAGAUUAUCCUUAAAAGACAAACCUUGUUAGAAAUACAAAAGUUUCUCAGUGGAGAGGAUUGGAAGCCAGGAGCCUUGGAUGAUGCACUAAGUGAUAUUUUAAUUAAUUUCAAGUUUCAUAAUUUUGAAACAUGGAAGUGGCAAUUUGAAGAUUCCUUUGGAGUGGAUCCGUAUAAUGUAUUGAUGAUGCUUCUGUGUCUGCUCUGCAUCGUGGUGUUAGUAGCUACUGAGCUGUGGACGUAUGUUCGUUGGUACACCCAGUUGAGACGUGUUUUAUUCAUCAGUUUUCUCAUCAGUUUGGGAUGGAAUUGGAUGUAUUUAUAUAAGCUAGCCUUUGCCCAGCAUCAGGCUGAAGUUGCCAAGAUGGAGCCAUUAAACAAUGUGUGUGCUGAGAACAUGGAUUGGACUGGAAGUCUCUUGGAGUGGCUUAGAAGUUCAUGGACCUAUAAGGAUGACUCAUGCCAAAAAUACUAUGAGCUCUUAUUAGUCAACCCUAUUUUGUUGGUCCCACCAACAAAGGCACUAGCAGUUACAUUUACCAACUUUGUCACGGAGCCAUUGAAGCAUAUUGGAAAAGGAGCUGGUGAAUUUAUUAAAGCACUCAUGAAGGAGAUCCCAGUGUUACUACACAUUCCAGUGCUGAUAAUUAUGGCAUUAGCUGUCCUGAGUUUCUGCUAUGGUGCUGGAAAAUCAGUUAAUAUGCUGAGACAUGUGGGUGGUCCUGAAAGAGAACCACCCCAGGCACUUCAGCCAGGUGAAAGAAGAUGGCAGCAGGAAAUUGAUUAUAGACCCCGUGGUGGAGCAGGUGAUGCAGAUUUCUAUUAUAGGGGCCAAACGGGCCCCAUUGAGCAAGGCCCUAAUGACAAAACAUGUGAGGGUAGAAGAGAUGUUUUGAGAGAGAGAGAUGUUGACUUGAGAUUUCAGACUGGCAACAAGAGCCUUGAAGUGCUUCCGGCAUUUGAUUUACCAGACGCAGAGGCGAGAGAGCAUCCCAAGGUGGUACCCAGUCAUAAAUCACCUAUUUUGGAUACAAAGCCCAAAGAAAUUGGUGGAAUCUCAGGAGAAAGCACACUGAAUGAAAGCAGCCAGUCUGCUAAGCCUGUCUCUGGCCAAAAGAUACCAGAGAGUGUGGAAGGUUCCCCUGCAGUGGAAAAGGCCCAGCUCAGGACUGACGCCACAGGUGGCCCAGAGGAAGGCAGCACGUCCAGCCCAGCAAGCACCACAGUGAGGUUGUGUGGAAGGGAUCCAGACUGCAGCCCAUGUGGCUAGAGGAACACAGACAUGGACCACAGCUCUGAGGUCAUCUUUGGGUUUUGUAAAGUAUACUCUUCACAGCUAUUUCUUCUUCUCUACAAAUAUUCUGUUAUUUACUACACAGAUAACCAUUUGGGGAUGAAAUCUACUUUGACAGCAAGGCAGCAAGGUACUGCUGUUGAAAGGUGACAGCAAUUCAGGGAAGACUUAUUAAAGCAAAUUGAACAUAUCAAAGCCAGUUUAUAACUAGAAGAAACAGGCUUGUUUAUUGUCUAGCCAAUAUUUAUCAUUAAAAUUAAGGAUUAUAGUAAGGAGCUUUUAGGAAAAUCAGAGUGGGGCAGAUAGCUUUUCAAAAGCAGUUUUUAAGUGGAAUGGAUAAUGCUGAAUGUUUACAGGGUCUGAGAACUACCAUAUACACAAAAUAAACACUUAUUUUUACAU